rnacentral:rRNA from 1 species
GGGUUGUGAGGUUAAGCGACUAAGCGUACACGGUGGAUGCCCUGGCAGUCAGAGGCGAUGAAGGACGUGCUAAUCUGCGAUAAGCGUCGGUAAGGUGAUAUGAACCGUUAUAACCGGCGAUUUCCGAAUGGGGAAACCCAGUGUGAUUCGUCACACUAUCAUUAACUGAAUCCAUAGGUUAAUGAGGCGAACCGGGGGAACUGAAACAUCUAAGUACCCCGAGGAAAAGAAAUCAACCGAGAUUCCCCCAGUAGCGGCGAGCGAACGGGGAGCAGCCCAGAGCCUGAAUCAGUGUGUGUGUUAGUGGAAGCGUCUGGAAAGGCGUGCGAUACAGGGUGACAGCCCCGUACACAAAAAUGCACAUAUUGUGAGCUCGAUGAGUAGGGCGGGACACGUGGUAUCCUGUCUGAAUAUGGGGGGACCAUCCUCCAAGGCUAAAUACUCCUGACUGACCGAUAGUGAACCAGUACCGUGAGGGAAAGGCGAAAAGAACCCCGGCGAGGGGAGUGAAAAAGAACCUGAAACCGUGUACGUACAAGCAGUGGGAGCACGCUUAGGCGUGUGACUGCGUACCUUUUGUAUAAUGGGUCAGCGACUUAUAUUCUGUAGCAAGGUUAACCGAAUAGGGGAGCCGAAGGGAAACCGAGUCUUAACUGGGCGUUAAGUUGCAGGGUAUAGACCCGAAACCCGGUGAUCUAGCCAUGGGCAGGUUGAAGGUUGGGUAACACUAACUGGAGGACCGAACCGACUAAUGUUGAAAAAUUAGCGGAUGACUUGUGGCUGGGGGUGAAAGGCCAAUCAAACCGGGAGAUAGCUGGUUCUCCCCGAAAGCUAUUUAGGUAGCGCCUCGUGAAUUCAUCUCCGGGGGUAGAGCA